UUCCAGCAUACAGCAAUAUUUUUAUUAGUAAAUUCGAUCAGGUCCGACAGGAAGCAAUCGUAGCUACAAAAAGUAUGUGUAUAGUAUGCUGGAAAAUU
rnacentral:SRP_RNA from 1 species